rnacentral:rRNA from 1 species
CCUACGGGUGGCAGCAGUGGGGAAUAUUGGACAAUGGGGGAAACCCUGAUCCAGCGACGCCGCGUGAGUGAAGAAGUACUUCGUUAUGUAAAGCUCUAUCAGCAGGGAAGAAAAUGACGGUACCUGAGUAAGAAGCCCCGGCUGACUACGUGCCAGCAGCCGCGGUAAUACGUAGUGGGCGAGCGUUAGCCGGAUUGACUGGUGGUAAAGGGGGCGUAGACGGCAGUGCAAGUCUGGAGUGAAAGGCGGGGGCUCAACCCCCGGACUGCUGUGGAAACUGUACGGCUGGAGUGCAGGAGAGGUAAGGGGAAUUCCUAGUGUAGCGGUGAAAUGCGUAGAUAUUAGGAGGAACACCAGUGGCGAAGGCGGCUUACUGGACUGUAACUGACGCUGAGGCUCGAAAGCGUGGGGAGCAAACAGGAUUAGAUACCCCGGUAGUC